rnacentral:rRNA from 1 species
AGGACGAACGCUGGCGGCGUGCUUAACACAUGCAAGUCGAACGGUGAACCAGGGCUUGCCCUGGGGAUCAGUGGCGAACGGGUGAGUAACACGUGACCAACCUGCCCUUGGCUCUGGGAUAACCCCGGGAAACCGGAGCUAAUACCGGAUACGAGUCCGUAUGGCAUCACACGGACUGGAAAGUUUUUCGGCCAAGGAUGGGGUCGCGGCCUAUCAGCUUGUUGGUGGGGUAAUGGCCUACCAAGGCGACG